rnacentral:rRNA from 1 species
GUGGGGAAUUUUGGACAAUGGGCGAAAGCCUGAUCCAGCCAUGCCGCGUGCAGGAUGAAGGCCUUCGGGUUGUAAACUGCUUUUGUACGGAACGAAAAGACUCCUUCUAAUAAAGGGGGUCCAUGACGGUACCGUAAGAAUAAGCACCGGCUAACUACGUGCCAGCAGCCGCGGUAAUACUUAGGGUGCAAGCGUUAAUCGGAAUUACUGGGCGUAAAGCGUGCGCAGGCGGUUAUAUAAGACAGAUGUGAAAUCCCCGGGCUCAACCUGGGAACUGCAUUUGUGACUGUAUAGCUAGAGUACGGUAGAGGGGGAUGGAAUUCCGCGUGUAGCAGUGAAAUGCGUAGAUAUGCGGAGGAACACCGAUGGCGAAGGCAAUCCCCUGGACCUGUACUGACGCUCAUGCACGAAAGCGUGGGGAGCAAACAGGAUUAGAUACCCUUGUAGUCC